rnacentral:siRNA from 1 species
CCUCUGGUCGAUGGAACAAUGUA